rnacentral:rRNA from 1 species
UACGAGGGGGGCAAGCGUUGUUCGGAAUUAUUGGGCGUAAAGGGUGCGUAGGCGGUUUGGUAAGUCUGAUGUGAAAUCUAUGGGCUCAACUCAUAGUCUGCAUCGGAAACUGCCGGGCUUGAGUGUGGGAGAGGUGAGUGGAAUUCCUGGUGUAGCGGUGAAAUGCGUAGAUAUCAGGAGGAACACCUGUGGCGAAAGCGGCUCACUGGACCAUAACUGACGCUGAUGCACGAAAGCGUGGGGAGCGAACAGG